GAUGAACGCUGGCGGCGUGCCUAAUACAUGCGAGUCGAGCGAACGGACGAGAAGCUUGCUUCUCUGAUGUUAGCGGCGGACGGGUGAGUAACACGUGGAUAACCUACCUAUAAGACUGGGAUAACUUCGGGAAACCGGAGCUAAUACCGGAUGAUAUUUUGAACCGCAUGGUUCAAAAGUGAAAGACGGUCUUGCUGUCACUUAUAGAUGGAUCCGCGCUGCAUUAGCUAGUUGGUAAGGUAACGGCUUACCAAGGCAACGAUGCAUAGCCGACCUGAGAGGGUGAUCGGCCACACUGGAACUGAGACACGGUCCAGACUCCUACGGGAGGCAGCAGUAGGGAAUCUUCCGCAAUGGGCGAAAGCCUGACGGAGCAACGCCGCGUGAGUGAUGAAGGUCUUCGGAUCGUAAAACUCUGUUAUUAGGGAAGAACAUAUGUGUAAGUAACUGUGCACAUCUUGACGGUACCUAAUCAGAAGGCCACGGCUAACUACGUG
rnacentral:rRNA from 1 species